GCUUUCUUCUGAAACCAAACUCCCUCACCUUUACGGGUUUGGGGUCAAAAGGAGCCAAGGUGCGGCGUGUGAACGGAGCGGUGUACUUGGAAAUUCUGGACUCGUGUGCAUGGUUGUUGGCUGGUGUUGGGACGUGUGAAUCGCGCCUCCCUGGCAGUACAUACGAUACACUCAUUACACCGAUUAGCCCUGAGCUAACAUCCGAUGCCAGCCCUCCUCUUUUUGCCGAGGAAGAUUGGCCCUGGGCUAACAUCUGUGCCCAUCUUCCUCUACGUUAUGUGGGAGACCACCACAGCAUGGCUCGACAAGCGGUGCCUCAGUCCCAGCCCGGGAUCCGAACCUGCGAACCCUGGGCCACUGGCGUGAAGCGCGUGCACCUACCCACUGCGCCACCAGGCCGACCCCUGUGGUCAUGAUGGCUGCUGUGUUGUUCACCAUCUUGGAUCUGAAGGAACUUUGAAGAUGGAAGCCAUUUGCUGAGGAGGGUAGACCAGAAAGACACAAGGAACCUGGGUCCCUGAUGACAUCAUGGGGCCACUCGGCCAGGCCAGACUACCUCCCUCUGGGCUUAUUUUAUGUGAGAAAAUAAAGCUUUGUGUGUUUAAGCCACUAUUUUUCAGUUCUCUGCACUCAGCUGAAUACAGUUCCU